UUAAGUGACUAAGCGUACACGGUGGAUGCCUUGGCAGUCAGAGGCGAUGAAAGACGUAGUAACUUGCGAUAAGCCCAGAUUAGGUAGUAACAACCAUUUGAGUCUGGGAUUUCUGAAUGGGGAAACCCACGUGCAUAAGCACGUAUCCUUACCUGAAUACAUAGGGUAAGGAGGCGAACCGGGGAAACUGAAACAUCUAAGUACCCCGAGGAAAAGAAAUCAACCGAGAUUCCGAAAGUAGCGGCGAGCGAAAUUGGACUAGCCCUUAAGCUUUACACGCGUUAGACGAACGGUCUGGAAAGUCCGACGAUACAGGGUGAUAGUCCCGUAGUUGACGACGUGUGUUCAGUGAAAUCGAGUAGGGCGGGACACGUGAUAUCCUGUCUGAAUAUGGGGGGACCAUCCUCCAAGGCUAAAUACUACUGACUGACCGAUAGUGAACCAGUACCGUGAGGGAAAGGCGAAAAGAACCCCUGUGAGGGGAGUGAAAUAGAACCUGAAACCGUGUACGUACAAGCAGUAGGAGCAGGCUUUGUCCUGUGACUGCGUACCUUUUGUAUAAUGGGUCAGCGACUUAUAUUCAGUGGCAAGGUUAACCAUCUAGGGGAGCCGUAGGGAAACCGAGUCUUAACUGGGCGUUCAGUCUCUGGAUAUAGACCCGAAACCAGGUGAUCUAGCCAUGGGCAGGUUGAAGGUUGAGUAACAUCAACUGGAGGACCGAACCGACUAAUGUUGAAAAAUUAGCGGAUGACUUGUGGCUAGGGGUGAAAGGCCAAUCAAACCUGGAGAUAGCUGGUUCUCCCCGAAAGCUAUUUAGGUAGCGCCUCGGACGAAUACUACUGGGGGUAGAGCACUGUUAAGGCUAGGGGGUCAUCCCGACUUACCAACCCUUUGCAAACUCCGAAUACCAGUAAGUACUAUCCGGGAGACACACGGCGGGUGCUAACGUCCGUCGUGGAGAGGGAAACAACCCAGACCGCCAGCUAAGGUCCCAAAUUACUACUAAGUGGGAAACGAUGUGGGAAGGCUCAGACAGCCAGGAUGUUGGCUUAGAAGCAGCCAUCAUUUAAAGAAAGCGUAAUAGCUCACUGGUCGAGUCGGCCUGCGCGGAAGAUGUAACGGGGCUAAGUAGUAAACCGAAGCUGCGGCAAUGUGCUUUUGCACAUUGGGUAGGGGAGCGUUCUGUAAGCGGUUGAAGGUGUGUGGUAACGCAUGCUGGACGUAUCAGAAGUGCGAAUGCUGACAUGAGUAACGAUAAAGGGGGUGAAAAACCUCCUCGCCGGAAGACCAAGGGUUCCUGUCCAACGUUAAUCGGGGCAGGGUAAGUCGACCCCUAAGGCGAGGCCGAAAGGCGUAGUCGAUGGGAAACGGGUUAAUAUUCCCGUACUUCUUACAAUUGCGAUGGGGGGACGGAGAAGGCUAGGUGGGCCUGGCGACGGUUGUCCAGGUUCAAGUGCGUAGGCUUAAGAGUUAGGUAAAUCCGGCUCUUUUUAAGGCUGAGACACGACGUCGAGCAUCUACGGAUGUGAAGUCAUUGAUGCCAUGCUUCCAGGAAAAGCCUCUAAGCUUCAGAUUGUAAGGAAUCGUACCCCAAACCGACACAGGUGGUCGGGUAGAGAAUACCAAGGCGCUUGAGAGAACUCGGGUGAAGGAACUAGGCAAAAUGGUACCGUAACUUCGGGAGAAGGUACGCUCUCGACGGUGAAGUCCCUCGCGGAUGGAGCUAUUGAGAGUCGCAGAUACCAGGUGGCUGCAACUGUUUAUUAAAAACACAGCACUGUGCAAAAUCGUAAGAUGACGUAUACGGUGUGACGCCUGCCCGGUGCCGGAAGGUUAAUUGAUGGGGUUAGACUUCGGUCGAAGCUCUUGAUCGAAGCCCCGGUAAACGGCGGCCGUAACUAUAACGGUCCUAAGGUAGCGAAAUUCCUUGUCGGGUAAGUUCCGACCUGCACGAAUGGCGUAAUGAUGGCCACGCUGUCUCCACCCGAGACUCAGUGAAAUUGAAAUCGCUGUGAAGAUGCAGUGUACCCGCGGCUAGACGGAAAGACCCCGUGAACCUUUACUACAGCUUGGCACUGAACAUUGACCCUACAUGUGUAGGAUAGGUGGGAGGCUUUGAAGCACGUACGCCAGUAUGUGUGGAGCCGUCCUUGAAAUACCACCCUUGUAGUGUUGAUGUUCUAACGUCGACCCCUUAUCGGGGUUGCGGACAGUGCCUGGUGGGUAGUUUGACUGGGGCGGUCUCCUCCCAAAGAGUAACGGAGGAGCACGAAGGUGGGCUAAUCACGGUUGGACAUCGUGAGGUUAGUGCAAUGGCAUAAGCCCGCUUGACUGCGAGAAUGACAAUUCGAGCAGGUGCGAAAGCAGGUCAUAGUGAUCCGGUGGUUCUGAAUGGAAGGGCCAUCGCUCAACGGAUAAAAGGUACUCCGGGGAUAACAGGCUGAUACCGCCCAAGAGUUCAUAUCGACGGCGGUGUUUGGCACCUCGAUGUCGGCUCAUCACAUCCUGGGGCUGAAGUCGGUCCCAAGGGUAUGGCUGUUCGCCAUUUAAAGUGGUACGCGAGCUGGGUUUAGAACGUCGUGAGACAGUUCGGUCCCUAUCUGCCGUGGGCGUUGGAAGAUUGAAGGGGGCUGCUCCUAGUACGAGAGGACCGGAGUGGACGAACCUCUGGUGUUCGGGUUGUGUCGCCAGACGCAUUGCCCGGUAGCUAAGUUCGGAAUCGAUAACCGCUGAAAGCAUCUAAGCGGGAAGCGAGCCCUGAGAUGAGUCUUCCCUGAUACUUUAAGUAUCCUAAAGGGUUGUCGGAGACUACGACGUUGAUAGGUCAGGUGUGUAAGUGCUGUGAGGCAUUGAGCUAACUGAUACUAAUUGCCCGUGAGGCUUAACCAU
rnacentral:rRNA from 1 species